UAUCCACGACCCAUCCAUCUUGCUGACGGCC
rnacentral:piRNA from 1 species